CCCUUCUUAUUUUACAAUUCAAUUUCUCUUCUUUCUGGUUCACCAAUCACCAUCAAUAUUGUAAUUAUAAUAAUAUGAAUAAUAAAUAACUAAAUUAUAGCCUCUAUGCAUAUUCACAAUUGCAUUAAUUAAAGCAUUGUUACCUGGACGUGAAGUGUUCCCACGCCGGCAGCCGCUUUGCGCAGGUAAGUUUCCACGACCUGAAAGAUAUUAUUCAUUGCGAAAAAAUCUGAAAAUUUUAUCCCCCAAAAUCUAAAAAAAUUAUCCACC
rnacentral:lncRNA from 1 species